GUCUUUUUGUUAUUAAUUUAAGGUUUAACCUGCCCAAUGAAAAAUUUUAAAUGGCUGCGGUAUUUUGACUGUACUAAGGUAGCAUAAUCAUUAGUUUUUUAAUUAAAAGCUAGUAUGAAGGGUUGGAUGAAAGAUUAACUGUCUCUAAUUAAUUUAGUUAGAAUUUUAUUUUUAAGUUAAAAAGCUUAAAUAUUUUUAAAAGACAAGAAGACCCUAUAGAGUUUUAUAUAUUUAAUUUUAUUAAUAUUUAGAAUUAAGGGAUUUUAAAAUUAAUAUAUAUUUAAUUGGGGUGAUUAAAAAAUUUAAAAAACUUUUUUAUAAAAUUUAUAUUGAUUAAUAAAUUUAUGAUCCAAUUAUUUUGAUUAUAAGAUAAAUUACCUUAGGGAUAACAGCGUAAUUUUAUUAAAGAGUUCUAAUCGAAAAUAAAGUUUGCGA
rnacentral:rRNA from 1 species